rnacentral:rRNA from 1 species
UUGAACGCUGGCGGAAUGCUUUACACAUGCAAGUCGAGCGGCAGCGCGGGGGCAACCUUGGCGGCGAGCGGCGAACGGGUGAGUAACAUAUCGGAACGUACCCAGAAGUGGGGGAUAACGUAGCGAAAGUUACGCUAAUACCGCAUAUGCCCUGAGGGGGAAAGGGGGGGAUCGCAAGACCUCUCGCUUUCGGAGUGGCCGAUAUCGGAUUAGCUAGUUGGUGAGGUAAAGGCUCACCAAGGCGACGAUCCGUAGCUGGUCUGAGAGGACGACCAGCCACACUGGAACUGAGACACGGUCCAGACUCCUACGGGAGGCAGCAGUGGGGAAUUUUGGACAAUGGGCGCAAGCCUGAUCCAGCCAUACCGCGUGAGUGAAGAAGGCCUUCGGGUUGUAAAGCUCUUUCAGCCGGAAAGAAAUUGCUUCUAUUAAUACUAGGAGUAGAUGACGGUACCGGAAGAAGAAGCACCGGCUAACUACGU